rnacentral:rRNA from 1 species
UACGUAGGGAGCGAGCGUUAUCCGGAAUUAUUGGGCGUAAAGGGUGCGUAGACGGCAAUAAAAGUUUCUUGUUAAAAUGCAGGGCUCAACCCUGUUAUGCAAGAGAUACUGUAUAGCUAGAGUAUAGGAGAGGUAAGUGGAACUCCAUGUGUAGCGGUAAAAUGCGUAAAUAUAUGGAAGAACACCAGUGGCGAAAGCGGCUUACUAGCCUGAUACUGACGUUGAGGCACGAAAGCGUGGGGAGCAAACA